rnacentral:ncRNA from 2 species
GGUAGUGACACGGGGUGCCCUGCCAAACGGCCGGGGCUGAGAAAACACCCGUUGAACCUGAUCUAGUUCGUACUAGCGAAGGGAUGUCCCGGAUGACCAUC